CAGGUGGCCUUCAGGUAGCCGGUAACCUUAAGGUAGCCUUCAGGUAGCUGGUAGCCUUCAGGUAGCCUUCAGUCUGCAGGUGGCCUCCAGGUAGCCAGUAGCCUUAAGGUAGCUGGUAGCCUUCAGGUAGCUGGUAGCCUUCAGGUAGCCUUCAGUCUGCAGGUGGCCUUCAGGUAGUCGGUAGCCUUAAGGUAGCCUUCCGGUAGCUGGUAGCCUUAAGGUAGCCUUCAGGUAGCUGGUAGCCUUCAGGUAGCCUUCAGUCUGCAGGUAGCUGGUAGCCUUCAGGUAGCCGGUAGCCUUAAGGUGGUCUUCAGGUAGUCGGUAGCCUUAAGGUAGCCUUCAGGUAGCUGGUAGCCUUAAGGUAGCCUUCAGGUAGCCUUCAGUCUGCAGGUGGCCUUCAGGUAGCCGGUAGCCUUAAGGUAACCUUCAGGUAGCUGGUAGCCUUCAGGUAGCCUUCAGUCUGCAGGUGGCCUCCAGGUAGCCAGUAGCCUUAAGGUAGCUGGUAGCCUUCAGGUAGCUGGUAGCCUUCAGGUAGCCUUCAGUCUGCAGGUGGCCUUCAGGUAGUCGGUAGCCUUAAGGUAGCCUUCCGGUAGCUGGUAGCCUUAAGGUAGCCUUCAGGUAGCUGGUAGCCUUCAGGUAGCCUUCAGUCUGCAGGUAGCCUUCAGGUAGCUGGUAGCCUUCAGGUAGCCGGUAGCCUUAAGGUGGUCUUCAGGUAGUCGGUAGCCUUAAGGUAGCCUUCAGGUAGCUGGUAGCCUUAAGGUAGCCUUCAGGUAGCCUUCAGUCUGCAGGUGGCCUUCAGGUAAUGGUAGUCUUCAGGUAGCCGGUGGCCUUCAGUCUAAAGAAGCAGAGACCAAACAGUCUGCUCACUCAUGUUUUUUUACUCCUUCGUUCGUUGUUUGGACAAACAUGAACAUGAUUAGAACUAUAAUACAAUAAUAAACGAGGCAGACAUGUUGGAAAUUAGAUGGUGUGUCUGAUUCAGCUGUUCGAUCUCGAUACCAGUGAUCAGUACUCGUUCU